rnacentral:misc_RNA from 1 species
AUUGGCCUGGAUUGAGCAGCUGUUCUUUGUGCUUAGUUGCUCUCCCAAAAUCUUUUGGUGAGUAUGGCAGCGGAACCACAGACAUGAACAGGAUAUUCUUGCCAAUGCUGCUUGACCAGCAACUCGAACUCGAUAGACCACACUUAGAUCAGCCAAUAUCUCUCUUCUCACAGUAUCUGACUCAUGUGCGGGGUCAUACCCAUCAAGAUCUGCCUCUGUAACGAUAACUACAGAACCAUCAUCAAAGGCCACAAUAUCCUGGGAUCGUGCUGGCCUUGGGGUCUUCAAGAUGAGAUCAGUUGUGUUAAUGUGAGCACUUCUUCUCAGCUUAAGAUUAUAGUAUUCCAGAACAGCCUGC